rnacentral:rRNA from 1 species
GACGUAGGUGGCGAACGUUAUUCGGAAUCACUGGGCUUAAAGGGUGCGUAGGCUGCGCAGCAAGUUGGGUGUGAAAUCCCUCGGCUUAACCGAGGAACUGCGCCCAAAACUGCUGUGCUCGAGGGAGAUAGAGGUGAGCGGAACUUAGGGUGGAGCGGUGAAAUGCGUUGAUAUCCUAAGGAACACCGGUGGCGAAAGCGGCUCACUGGAUCUCUUCUGACGCUGAGGCACGAAAGCUAGGGUAGCGAACGGG